rnacentral:rRNA from 1 species
AAACUAGGAUUAGAUACCCUAUUAAUUUAAUUAAUAGAAUAAGUUGAUUAGUAAGAAGUUAAAAAAAUUGGCGGGACUUUUACUUCUUAGAGGAAUUUGUAAUAGAAAGGAUAAUACCCCAUCAAAUUUACUAUAAUUUGAGCUCUUAUAUCGCUGUUGUAAAAAUAUUAUUGAAAGUAAUAUUUUGAAUCUUAAUUUUUUUUUAGAACACUUCAAGUCUAGAUAACGCAAUAUUAUAGAUAUUAUGAAUUACA